UGCAAGUAUCCGCACCCCUGUGAAAACGCCCUUAUCACCCUCUUGGAGAAAGGAGCCGAUAUCAGGCACACUCAUAUGCCCAAGACAUCUAGCUAUGCCACACCCACAAGGGAAUUCAGCAGUGAUUAACAUUAAAUAUGAGCGAUAGCUCGAUUUAGUUAAAGAGCAGAGAGCCGGCUAAUCUGGUGCCAGCCGCCGCGGUUACACCAGAGGCUCAAGUUGAUCUUGCUCGGCGUAAAGCGUGAUUAAAGUUAACUAAUAAUAAAGUCAAACUAAAACUAAGCUGUAGUACGCUUGUUUUUAAGAAGCUCAAAAACGAAAGUUACUUUAAUAAAAACAACUUGAACUCACGACAACUAGGACACAAACUGGGAUUAGAUACCCCACUAUGCCUAGUCGUAAACUUUAAAUUACACUUCCCUCGCCCGGGAACUACGAGCAAAGCUUAAAACUCAAAGGACUUGACGGUACCCUAUAUCCAUCUAGAGGAGCCUGUCCUAUAACCGAUAACCCCCGUUUUACCUUACCAUUUUUAGCCUAUCAGUCUGUAUACCUCCGUCGUCAGCUUACCACGUGAGCGCAACUAAGUAAGCCUAAUGUCUUUACAUCAACACGUCAGGUCAAGGUGCAACAAAUAAAAUGGAUAGAGAUGGGCUACACUUUCUAAUUUAGAAUACACGAAAGACUAUUUAUGAAAUCUAGUCUGAAGGCGGAUUUAGUAGUAAAAAGAAACUAGAGUGUUCUUUUUAACUUGGAACUAGGGUGUGU
rnacentral:rRNA from 1 species